AUUCAUUAAAUAAAUAAAGUUUAAUUUUUUAAACAUAAAUAGUCAUUUAAAAUGAAAUACGAUAAAUAAAGAUAAAAUUUUUAAGUCUUUUAUAAAAUAAAACACAAAUAUAUGAAAAUAUGACAUUUACUAAAUAAUUGUCAAUUGAAAAAAAAAAAAAUAAAUCCGCGCUUUGAAAGCGCGGGUCAAAAUCUAGUGAGUAGUUAAAGUUGCUUUGAGAAAUAAGGAAAUAAAGAGAUUGGUUUAUACGAGAAAGAUGUCUAUAUAGCAAUGCUGAAACAGCAAAGAUAUUAAAGUCCAAAUAUGAAAAAGAAAAUAUAUACCAUUUUCCUCACUCUGCACAAAAUAUGUGAUUUAAAAUCACCUUUUGUAUAGUAUUCUGCUUGAACACCUUCCAACAGGAACAACGGGAACAUCUUCACUUCGAAUUUUCUGCCACAUGUCAGGGUCUCCAGAGGCGGAUGCUAAAAUAGAGUUUAAAGUAAAAAUGUUCCAAUGAUACUCUAUUUUCUACUCUAUAAUAGUGUAAAUUUAUUUUUUACUCUAUAUAUAAAGUAAUUUUUUUUAUUUUUUGUUCAUUACUUUAUUUUCAACUCUAAAAUAGAGUAUCACUGAAGCAACAUCUAGAGUUACUCUAUUUUUUUUUUUUGAUCAACAGAGUUACUCUAUUUUAAAGAAAAAAAUAAAGUAAACCAUUGGAAAUGGUCUCAUUAACCAAACUAAAACCAAAAGCCAAACAAAUUUUCAUCCAUGAACACACGCAACUGUUUCUUAAACGUUUACUGUAUAUUCUGUACUGUAUUUUCUUUUUGUAAAAGAAACUGUAUAUUCUAUUCCUGUCUUAGAUCAAUCUCUAUAUCAUGUUUAUAAAUUGAACACGUCGACAUUAUUUACAUUUCUUCAGUCACCCUCCGAUUGUAUAUCACUGAAAAACUUUUUGUUUUAGUAUCUCUAUAAUAUUAUUUGAGAAGUCACUUUCUUAGGUGUCAUACCCACGUUAACUCUCACGGUGGUUGAUUACUAUGAUACCUUUAAUGAAUUAAAAAUAAUUACAUUUUAAAUACUAUUAUUUCCUUUUAAAUUUUUUCUAAAUAACAAUAUAAAACAAAAAGGAGAUAUUUAUAAAGUUAAACAAAAUUAAAAACGAAAAUAUAUGUAUAUAUAAUAUGAUUUCAUAAAAAAAGGAAAAGAUCACACAAAUGAUCUUGAUGUUAGAAAAAAGAAAUAUUUAUCUUUUAAAACAUAAUUUUAUACAAAAUACAAAUAUAUAUUUUUUCAAAGUAAUAGAAUUUGUUUUAUAUAUCUAUCUAUUUUCUUAGAUGAUUGCAUAAAAUAAUUAAGUAACAUAAACUGAUAUAUGUUUAAUGGAAAAAUAAUAAUUUAUAAUUAGUAUUAUUGAAAUAUUUUUUUCAUAUAUUUAGUUGACUAUAAUAUCUUACAAUUACAGCAAAAAAAUAUAAAUUAUAUUUUACUUAUAUAAUAUAAUUUCUCAAAACAAUCACAUUUUUACUGCAUAUUUUAAGAGAUAUUAAAAAACUAAAAAUAAAUUUUAACAAUAAACAUCUUUUGAUCAAAUAACUACAACAUGAGUGACUCGACUAAUUCAUUUUAUAUCUAAAAUUAUAGAUUGAACUACAAUAAAAAUAUAUAAAUUAUAGGAUGACUUAAAACAUAUUAACAAAUGAAAAAUAAAAUAUUAACUCUUUGUUACCAUUUAGUUCUUUUGUAAAAUUUUAUAUAUGCAUGAGACUUUCAAAUAUUAUCAUCAUAUUAAUUUAUGUAAUUUGGAAUCACACACUUUAGUUUAUUUUUUAUUUCACUCUAAGCACAAUAUAUCUUAAGUUAUACAUAAUCUUACUAAAUAUACUUACAUAUCUGCUGUAAAAAAACUUACAUAUCUAAAAAAACAACCAACCAAAAUACAUAUAAGAAAAUUAAUCAAAGAACUAAUAUAUUUACAGUCAAAAAUAUUAUAGUUGAAUUCAAAGAAAUAGAUGGAAUCCAAUAUGUCCAAAUGAUAAUUAAAUUGACUGUAAAACUACAAAACUGAUUAGAUAUAAAAUAUCUAAAUUCAUGUGCAUAAUUAAAGUAAUACAAUAUUAUUAAUAGAAAUUAAAAUUAAUUUAAAACUAAAAGUAAAUAUUAAUCAAUUAUUAUAGUAUAUUUACUUUAUAAAUAUUUAUGUCCGUGCAUGAGCACGGGAAAAUCACCUAGUAAUAAUUAUAUUUGAGAUUACUCAUAUCAAAAUAUAAUCAUAUUUGACAAUGCAUUCAAAACAAACAUGAGCCCAAUUUUACAAGAAAGGUCAGAAUGCAUUGCGUUGCUUAUGUGUAAACAAGCCAAAAGAAAAAGGAAUUGGUUAGGUAUUCAAUAUUGGUAUGAAAUUUCCUAAGUAUUGUAUAUUGCUUUGCUAAGUAAAUGGCUACAAUUGGAUGUAAAUAUAUAAUUAUCAAAACUAACCAAGCAAUACUUCUUAAAAAUAAGUAAAUAUUCUUCACGAAGUUUACAUUUUGUACAUUUUUUAUAUAAUAUCUAAUAGAACAAUGAACAAAAAUGUAAAUUAAAGUAUUAUUUUUUAUAUACUCACCGGUCUCUACCUAGUAUAUAGUUUAAAACUCAGACCAAAAGUUAAGAUUGAGUUUGUCACUAAAGAUUGCAACCAUAAAGGGACAUGGCUUAUAAGAGCAUAUAAGCAUGACCGGGAGCUUGUGGUCAAGUGGUAAGGAGAAGGGCUUGGGAUGUCACCACAUUUCAAGUUCAAUUCACCUGCCAUGCGAAACUAAGUCACAUUUUCCUGGUCACCUUACUUGAACAUGGGCUACUGCAUUUCGGCCCAUUAGAAUACCUGGGAAAGGGUCUAUUUGUGGACUACACCUCCCAUCCGGGGGUUAUGUUUAGUUUGUGUCUUUAAUAGACCUGGGUUUUAACCCUUUUCUUUAGAAAAAAAAAAACAGUAUAUAAGCAUUGUGUUUUUUUUUUUGAAACACAUAUAAGCAUUGUGUAGUUACCCUAGUUAAUAGCCGAAGAACUUUCUUCUUGGUGUCGAUUUCAGUUCUGGGCGACAGAAAUAGAGGCAGUGUUGUUGAUGGCUUUGCGUAGACUUGUGUUAUAUCUAAAUGUUUCAGCUAAGUAUUUAAAAGGUUUUGUUUACUAUGAACGAACAACAUCAUAUAUAUAUAUAUAUUGAAGAAUUGUAAAAACCUCUCAUUACAUUACUGAAACAGAUGAAGUAAGAACAAGGUUAAGGCUCAUUAGUCCUUAUUAUUACAACAAGUUCACACAUUUUUAA